UCGAACGCAGUAGCAAUACUGAGUGGCAAACGGGUGAGUAUAAUGUGGGAAUCUGCCUUUUGGUUUGGAAUAACACGGGGAAACUUGUGCUAAUACCGAAUAAGCCCUUACGGGGAAAGUUUUAACGCCGAAAGAUGAGCCUGCACUUGAUUAGCUAGUUGGUAAGGUAAAAGCUUACCAAGGCAACGAUCAAUAGCUGUUCUUAGAGGAAGACCAGCCACAUUGGGACUGAGACACGGCCCAGACUCCUACGGGAGGCAGCAGUGGGGAAUCUUGCACAAUGGGGGAAACCCUGAUGCAGCGAUGCCGCGUGAGUGAAGAAGGCCUUUGGGUUGUAAAACUCUUUCGUCGGGGAAGAAAAUGACUGUACCCGAAUAAGAAGGUCCGGCUAACUUCGUGCCAGCAGCCGCGGUAAUACGAAGGGACCUAGCGUAGUUCGGAAUUACUGGGCUUAAAGAGCUCGUAGGUGGUUAAAAAAGUUGAUGGUGAAAUCCCAAGGCUUAACCUUGGAACUGCCAUCAAAACUUUUUAGCUAGAGUGUGAUAGAGGUAAGUGGAAUUUCUAGUGUAGAGGUGAAAUUCGUAGAUAUUAGGAAGAACACCGGUGGCGAAGGCGCUCUACUGGAUCAUUACUGACACUCAGAGGCGAAAGCUAGGGUAGCAAAAGGGAUUAGAU
rnacentral:rRNA from 1 species